GUUACCAAAGAUAACUGAAGACGGGCAACAAAAUAUCUAAAACACCAAAAUUCCCAUCCCAGAAAGUGAAUCAAAUCAAGAGAAAAUAUCUUCUUCCUGUCAUUCUCUUUUUCCUAAUUGGGAUCGGUCAAACAAACCCUAACCCUAAAAUUUGGGUCUAUUCAACCUCUACAGUGAUGAAUCAUUACGACGACAGAGUUGUGGACGCCGGUUCUUACCAUCAGCGUCGAAGUGUUUUUAUGGGAUUACCGCCUACAGCGGGACUCCCUGCGGUGGGUGCUGCUCCGAACUAUGGCCCCGGUGGACUGGCUACAUUCAGAGGUCCUCCGCCGGUACUGCCUCAUUUGGCAAGCGCUGGAAGAGGUGUUGGAAAUGGAUAUCCUCCAUUUGAACCUGGAGUUGGUGGAGCUUUUAAUAUAGGUGUAGGUGGGGGAGGGGGAGGGAGGGGAUUUGGUGGUAGAGGUGGUGGUAGGGGUGGUGGUGGUGGUGGAAGAAUGAGCAAUGCAGGACAUGAUGGUGGUAGAGGUAGAGGAGGUAGAAGUUUUGAUUCGGGUGGUCGUGGUGGAAGCAGAGGUGGCGGAGGUAGGGGUUUUGACAGAGGGCAGCGCGGUGGUGGGCGUGAUGGAGGUAGAGGGUUUAGCAGCGGUGGGCGAGGUGGAGGGAGAGGGUUUAGCGAUGGUGGACGAGGUGGAGGGAGAGGGUUUAGUGGUGGUGGACGAGGUGGAGGGAGAGGGUUUGAUGGUGGGCGUGGGGGUGGAAGAGGAGGAAGAGGUGGUGGCUCAAAAGGAGAUUUGGAUAGUAUAGCUCUACCAAAACAGGAUUUUGGAAACUUGGUGCCAUUUGAGAAGAACUUCUACAUCGAGUGUCGUGCUGUAAGUGACAUGACGGACCACGAGGUGGCAAUGUAUCGUGGUAGGAGGGAAAUUACCGUUGAAGGUCAUGACGUCCCGAAGCCGGUCAGAAUGUUUCACGAGGCAGGUUUUCCUGGCUAUUGUCUAGAAGUCAUUUCUAGACUGGGAUUUAGUGAGCCAACACCAAUUCAGUCACAAGGAUGGCCUAUGGCGUUAAAGGGAAGAGAUUUAAUCGGGAUUGCCGAGACUGGUUCUGGCAAGACUUUGUCAUAUUUGCUGCCUGCAAUUGUUCACGUUACCGCACAACCUCCAUUGGCUCAAGGAGAUGGUCCAGUUGUGCUAGUAUUAGCUCCUACUCGAGAACUGGCUGUACAAAUUCAACAAGAAGCUGGAAAAUUCGGGUCACAAUCUAGAAUAAGAAGCACUUGCAUCUACGGUGGUGCUCCUAAGGGACCACAAAUUCGUGAUCUUCAAGGAGGGGUUGAAAUCGUUAUUGGCACACCUGGUCGGUUAAUCGAUAUGUUAGAAGCCCAGCAUACAAACUUGAAAAGAGUGACUUAUCUUGUCUUGGACGAAGCUGAUCGAAUGUUAGAUAUGGGGUUUGAACCACAAAUCAGGAAAAUUAUAUCCCAAAUCAGACCCGAUAGACAAACACUUUAUUGGAGUGCAACAUGGCCUAAAGAGGUUGAGAGUUUAGCAAGACAGUUUCUAAGCAAUCCAUACAAGGUUAUCAUUGGAUCCCCUGUUCUGAAAGCAAAUCAGUCAAUAAAUCAGAUUGUUGAAGUUGUAACAGAUUUGGAAAAGUAUAAUCGGCUGAUCAAACUGCUGAAAGAAAUGAUGGACGGAAACAGAAUUCUUAUAUUUGUGGAAACAAAGAAAGGAUGUGAUCAAGUUACACGACAACUUAGAAUGGAUGGAUGGCCCGCACUAUCCAUUCAUGGUGAUAAAAGCCAAGAUGAACGGGACUGGGUUUUGGCAGAGUUUAAAAGUGGCAGGAGUCUUAUAAUGACAGCAACUGACGUUGCUGCCCGUGGUCUUGGUAGGAUCACUAUGUGUUAGUCUGUUAGGAAGUUGUAGUCUUUUUAGGUCACAAAAUCACUAACAUAUGGGAGUCGCCGGCUGCUGUCUACUUACCUGAGAAAAUAAUUUGUGGUUUGGGUGCGAAAAGGAGGUGCUAGAAAUGGUUGUUGGUGAGCUGGAUUUGUUCAGCUUUAGCAUUGUUUUCUCUUCUCUUUUAGAAUCUAGUUUCUAAUUGGCAUUUGGUAAUGCAUAAAAGCGUAAAGGGUUAGGAAAACACCUCUCUGGUCUAGUCUGCAGCAGAAUUCCGUAUCUGGUAGAAUAUUUUACUUGGGCUGCUAAAGCAAACACAUAAGAAGCUAAGCACAUGCUGUGGGUCGGUCAUUGCUCGUUAUAUUCGGUGGUUCGGUUUAUUUGGUCACACUUAACUGAACCCGACCACUUUUAAGUAGACAUACUAGAAGAAUACAAAUUUUUUACUUAGAAUGAUGUAAUAUAUUUCAAGGGGUAGGUUAACAUACAAUAGCCCCUUAACGUGCGACGGUGCGAAGUGAAUUACACAUGUUUAUUUUUUAAAUACGCACGUUUUAAUACAUAAUUACCCACAUUAUUUGCAUAAUUACACAUAGGUUGGGUUAACCCUAAUUAAGCACAUCAUUUUUGUGGUCACAUACCGUCGCACCUUAAGAGCCUUUUGUAUUUUAAACUUUCACUAUGUUUCAAAUCUUUUUUCUUUUCUAAAGUUAAAAUUCUUGAUAAAUUAGUUUUGAAAAUUCUGACUUUACCCUUGGCUUUAAGAAAUUUAUACGCUUCCACUAUUUUUCUAUACUAUUGAUAAAAGUUAUAGUGUGCAUUUUCAAAGUGUUUAGUGCAACUUAAAGCAGCAGAAUCAGUGACUAUUUUGUAGUACACUUAUGCCAUGAAUGCGUUGCGCCUUAUGUUUAAUACCUUGGUCAGUAAAUAGGCUAUGUUCUACUUGACAAUGCAUGUCAUAUAUAGUUUUCACAAAGCAUCCCAAUAUUAACAAUUUUGGUCUUUUAUCGAGAGCUAAUGGAGGACUAAUAGAUUUAGGAUGCAAGUAGAAUGCAAUUUACAUAGGGCGUACUAGGUCUUAUAAGCGUGGUAUUGUCCUCUUACAUUCAUGUGGUUGGUAUUCAACUCUGAAAGCAAGGGAGAGAUAAGGAGGUUGGUUGAACUUGCUCUAAUAUUACUGUUUUACCCUUCAUCUUUAGAAAUUAUCGCUGCCCAAACACGGUUAUGAGGUUGGUGGUCGUGACAGUCCGGUUGACUCGUACAAACAAAAGCUUUUUUAUUGGUUAUGAAAAUGGAAUUGCGGCGGAGUUAUUGGUGGUUGCUGCUCCUUAUCCCUGCAAAAGGUUGAGAUGUGAAGGGCAUAAAAUGCGUCAUCAAUUAUGAUUUUCCAACAAGCCUCGAGGAUUAUGUCCAUAGGAUAGGGCGAACUGGUCGUGCAGGAGCCAAGGGGAUUGCUGUUACAUUUUUUACCCAUUCAAAUGCUAAGCAUGCUAGAGAGCUUGUUAAGAUUCUUCAAGAGGCUGGUCAAGUUGUUCCUGUUGCAUUGUCGUCUAUGACCCGGACCAUGGGUCCUGGAGCAGGUUCUGGUGGGAGCUUUAGGUCGAGAGGUAGAGGUGGGUUUGGGAAUCGAGGUGGGAUGUCGGGAUCUAAUACUGUUCCUCUUGGUUCCAACGCUCAUUGGUAGCUUCUUUGUUUACUGAGUGUAGAAUGUUAAGAUUACAAGUAGUUGAGCGUGUUCAAUUAAUUAAUCAUAUAUUUGCUGCGGACUCAAGUUUCACAAAACCCCCCAUUACACUUGCAGUAGCGGGCGUUUCACUUUCAGGUUAUAUGCUGCUAAUGUUUCAGUUUUAGAUCAUAGAUAUGCAAUGUCCUGUGUGGAAAAAUCCUUUUCGUUUUUUGCAAUGCAUUGGCAAUGGGUCGUGCUUUGUUUUGAUAA